CGGUGAGCCGAGAUCACACUAUUGCACUCCAGCCUUGGCAAAAAGAGCGAAACUCCAUCCCAAAAAAAAAAAAAAAACAAAGCUGCAGCUCAGAGAAGUGGAGACACUGGCCCAGGGACCCACAGCAAGGCCUUGGCCCAGCUGGGGCUAGAUGGCAAGAGGUGGUUCAGCAUUGGAGCUCCAUUGCCUGGGUUCAAAUCGGGGUCUGUCACUGGCCAGCUGUGAGCCUAAGUCUCUGAACUUCUCUGUGCCUUAGUGUCCUCAUUCUGUAGAGUGGAGAUAGUAAUCAUUCCUAUUUCAAAGAUUGUUGUGAGAAAUAAGUGAACUAAUACAUGUCAUAUGCUUAAAAGCAGGGCCCAGGACACAGUGAGCAUACAAUAGACAUUAGCUGCUGUGGUGUCUUGAUUUCAAGCCCAGUGCAGAUGCAUCUGACUUACGAAACUUCAGUGACACCUGCUCUGUGCCAGACACUGAAGAUGGAGCAGUGAACAGCACUGACCCAGCCUGUCCUCCUGUUGCCUGCAGGCCAGAAGCAAGGUCUCGCUGUGUUACCCUGGCUGGAGUGCAGUGGCUACUUACAGGCAUGAUCAUAGCAUACUGCAGCCUCGAACUCCUGGACUAGAGCAGUUCUCCUGCCUCAGCCUCCAGAGCAGCUGGGACUGCAGACACGCACCACAGAGCCCAGCCUGAGUCAUUUUGAUUCUGUAACUGGCUUCCUCUCGGCGGGCAGGCUCACACCCUCCACCCCCAGCUGGAGAUGGAAGGAGGAUGCUCACCGCCC
rnacentral:lncRNA from 10 species